rnacentral:rRNA from 1 species
GACGAACGCUGGCGGGGUGUUUAACACAUGCAAGUCGAACGGAAAGGCCCUGCUUUUGUGGGGUGCUCGAGUGGCGAACGGGUGAGUAACACGUGAGUAACCUGCCCUUGACUUUGGGAUAACUUCAGGAAACUGGGGCUAAUACCGGAUAGGAGCUCCUGCCGCAUGGUGGGGGUUGGAAAGUUUCGGCGGUUGGGGAUGGACUCGCGGCUUAUCAGCUUGUUGGUGGGGUAGUGGCUUACCAAGGCUUUGACGGGUAGCCGGCCUGAGAGGGUGACCGGCCACAUUGGGACUGAGAUACGUCCCAGACUCCUACGGGAGGCAGCAGUGGGGAAUAUUGCACAAUGGGCGGAAGCCUGAUGCAGCAACGCCGCGUGCGGGAUGACGGCCUUCGGGUUGUAAACCGCUUUCGCCUGUGACGAAGCGUGAGUGACGGGAAUGGGUAAAGAAGCACCGGCUAACUACGU